rnacentral:rRNA from 1 species
GUACACUCCUGCGGGAGGCAGCAGUAGGGAAUCUUCCACAAUGGGUGCAAACCUGAUGGAGCAAUGCCGCGUGAGUGAAGAAGGUCUUCGGAUCGUAAAGCUCUGUUGUUAGAGAAGAACACGUGCUAGGUAACUACUAGCGCCUUGACGGUAUCUAACCAGAAAGUCACGGCUAACUACGUGCCAGCAGCCGCGGUAAUACGUAGGUGACAAGCGUUGUCCGGAUUUAUUGGGCGUAAAGGGAGCGCAGGCGGUCUGUUUAGUCUAAUGUGAAAGCCCACGGCUUAACCGUGGAACGGCAUUGGAAACUGACAGACUUGAAUGUAGAAGAGGAAAAUGGAAUUCCAAGUGUAGCGGUGGAAUGCGUAGAUAUUUGGAGGAACACCAGUGGCGAAGGCGAUUUUCUGGUCUAACAUUGACGCUGAGGCUCGAAAGCGUGGGGAGCGAACAGGAUUAGAAACCCCAGUAGUCCCA